rnacentral:lncRNA from 1 species
GUGUCCCCAGCCCACACUGAGGGUUGUGUUGUAGUUACCUAAAGUAAUAGCACCACAAUGCUAGAAACAAUCACAUGAGAUUCCCUCACAGCAAAUCCAGCAUUCGUUAAGCCCCUAAGUGAUAAUCCCGACAGAAGUUUGGUGGGCAGAAAUGGAAAAUUCAUAUGCAAACAAAUACCUACUCCAAUAAUAACAAAAAUGUUGCCCCUUCCUGAUAAAGAGUCUGACAUAAUCAGGCUGCCAGGCCAGUGUUCCACUGGGCCCCCGGCACUAUGGUACCCCAUGAAGGGCUCAAGGUUAGUCGAGGAUUGAAUUCUCAGCAGCGGUGUGGCCAGGUCAAGCUCAGGAGGGAAAGUCCACGUCUGAUUUUAAUUCUGCCACCAUGGUGAUAUUCAUACCUUAAUGGAGAAAACAUCAGGAUUGGUGGGAAGAAUCUGGUUGACAUUCGUAGAACAAGAUACUCGCGUCACUCUUUGGGAUCCUCUUGCCCUGCAGAGACCUUUGGGAGAACCCUAUCGUGGAACAAAUGUAUUUUCAUAUCCUGGAUCCAUGAUCUGAAUCCACUCCUAUAUGUUUUCCCCAAAACUUCUGGUCACAGAUCCUUCAGUUUUAUUCCUACCAAGUCCCUAUUUGUCAGAAACCACUGGCCAUUGUCCAUGAGUUGGCUUGGACCCAGAUCUCAGGUCAUUUCUCUUCCAGAUAAAGUACACCAUGAAAAGUGGCACUCCAAGCUCUGCACAAUGGGAGGAUUUCCCCUCUCCCAGUCUGCAGGCCACCCUCAGCAGAGCUGAAACAGCAGUCUGCUUACCGCACAGAUCCACCGUCGGCCAGGUUCCCUUCGGCCAAGAAUGAAGGCGGGGUAGGCUGUCCUUGAGAUGGGCUCCCCAGUUUCCUAGGAGGUGCUGGGUCCUGGAAUGGAGGAGGCCAAGGAGCGAACUUGGCCACCGCGGGCCGAGUAGCCCUGACACUAUAAAGGUCACAGCCAGAGGAGCAUCGGCGAGCUGGCCCGCAGGAGCUCUGCAAGGGUGGCUCGACUGCCACCCUUAGGAGCAGCCUGGAGAGGCAGGUCAGUAAACUCCUUGACCUGUGGGAUACAUGUACGGAUGUACAUGCCUGUACCAGCCUGACUUGGAUCCCUGUAGCAGAAAAUUCAGACCAGAAUUAACCCAAAG